UCCCUAGUGGUCCAGUGGUUAAGACUCUGUGCUUCCACCACAGGGGGCACAGGUUAGAUCCCCGGUCAGGGAA
rnacentral:tRNA from 1 species